rnacentral:lncRNA from 1 species
UGAAAUGAAACACCUGGUGAAACCAGAGUAGCAGAAACCUUGUGAAGUUCCUCUAAUAGGGCACCUGGGAGGCAUCCUCUUAGGUCAGAAGAUUUGAAGGACUAAAAAGUUAAUAGAGUAGAGUAACCCAGACAUUUGCGACAUAAGAAGAUGCCAAAAGUUGAGCAGGCAGUUUAAAAUCACUGUAACCAGAGAACUGAUGACAGAGGGCUCAAUGGCAGGGAGGCUGUUCUCUUGGAGGGUAAAAUCAGAAGGUAUUUCUGAAUCUGAAUAAUUGAGGACAAUUUGCAACUUCUGGCCAGCAGAGAUGAAAAAGAUGGGUGGCUUGGAGAGCAAACUGCCCCAUGUGAAUCAAGCCCUGCCAGCAAUCCUGUCCCAGCUCAGACAGCCCAGCCUGCCUGCCUCUCCAUCCAUGCAGUAUGCAUACACAUACGCGCACCUUCCUGCCCGCAUCCAGCUCUCCUGUCAGAGGAUUCUGUCUUUGAACUGAACAAAGCCCUCACAAGCCAUGCUAUGAGUUGAGUCGCUUACCUCUGUCUCGGGAGGAGUUUAUCUCCCUUGACAAGGUUUUGUCUGGUGUUAGCAGCGGGGCUGAUGACAGGCUGUGCAUGCAGCAGCAUGUGACCCCGGCUCCUGGCCUCGGCGCAGGCAGUCGUCAGAGCUGUCACGCAGUCAGAACAAGUUAAUUCAAUGCGUGAAGGGCGAGGUGCGAGCUGUAAUAAUAUCAGGCCUCUGGAGAGGGUGCUGUCAUACAGCGUGUACUGGCGGCUGCCCCAGCU